UACAGAGGGGGCAAGCGUUAUUCGGAAUUAUUGGGCGUAAAGGGCGCGUAGGCGGCCUGGCAAGUGGAAGGUGAAAUCCUGGAGCUCAACUCCAGAACUGCCUUUGAUACUGAGAGUCUUCGAGUUCGGGAGAGGUGAGUGGAACUGCGAGUGUAGAGGUGAAAUUCGUAGAUAUUCGCAAGAACACCAGUGGCGAAGGCGGCUCGACUGGCC
rnacentral:rRNA from 1 species